UAGCGAUUCAGUUGGUAAAGUUUAUAAACUU
rnacentral:piRNA from 1 species